rnacentral:miRNA from 1 species
CGGCGUCUGGACGUUUGGUUUU